rnacentral:rRNA from 1 species
ACGGGUGAGUAAUGCCUAGGAAUCUGCCUGGUAGUGGGGGACAACGUUUCGAAAGGAACGCUAAUACCGCAUACGUCCUACGGGAGAAAGCAGGGGACCUUCGGGCCUUGCGCUAUCAGAUGAGCCUAGGUCGGAUUAGCUAGUUGGUGAGGUAAUGGCUCACCAAGGCGACGAUCCGUAACUGGUCUGAGAGGAUGAUCAGUCACACUGGAACUGAGACACGGUCCAGACUCCUACGGGAGGCAGCAGUGGGGAAUAUUGGACAAUGGGCGAAAGCCUGAUCCAGCCAUGCCGCGUGUGUGAAGAAGGUCUUCGGAUUGUAAAGCACUUUAAGUUGGGAGGAAGGGCAGUAAGUUAAUACCUUGCUGUUUUGACGUUACCGACAGAAUAAGCACCGGCUAACUCUGUGCCAGCAGCCGCGGUAAUACAGAGGGUGCAAGCGUUAAUCGGAAUUACUGGGCGUAAAGCGCGCGUAGGUGGUUCGUUAAGUUGGAUGUGAAAUCCCCGGGCUCAACCUGGGAACUGCAUCCAAAACUGGCGAGCUAGAGUAGGGCAGAGGGUGGUGGAAUUUCCUGUGUAGCGGUG